rnacentral:tRNA from 1 species
GGGGCGGUGGCGGAACGGCAGACGCUGCGGACUUAAAAUUCGCUCGGGGCAACCCGGUGAGGGUUCGAGUCCCUCCCGCCCUA